rnacentral:lncRNA from 1 species
GGCUGCCAGUUCCGGAGAGCAGAGCAGGGGUCAAGGCUUUUGGUGGAUUUUCCUCCCUCUCUUUUGGUAGGCUGGCACUUAGCCCAGCUCCACAUUUCCAAUGAAUGUCUAGGCUUCUCUAUGAGAAGGCAGACUGGAAAGGAAACGAUAAAAUAAGCCUUUUUUUCCUCCCCUUUGCUGGCACAAGAUCCCUUCUUGACUAAGUGUCAGACUGAAUAAGACUUGCCGCAACCCAAAACUCAAGAGAUGCAGGGAGCUUGCAACUUCGUGUUGAGAAGAAAAGACACAUGCAGAAAAAAGUAGAUUGAAAGAAUCCACAGAUCAACUCCUGUAUUUAAUCCCCAACUGACAACACCCAGGAAUGUUAUAGCCAAAUUCAAAAACUAUCAGACCAAAGAAAAGAUAUUACAAGCUGCAAAGAAGAAGCCAUUCAGAUACCAUGGAAAUAUAAUGAGAAUAACACAGGAUCUGGCUGCAUCCACAGUGAAGGACCGAAAGGGAAAAGAAUGGUCAUUCAACACAAUAGAAGAAUUCCAAGCAUUCGUAAAGAAAAGACCAGACCUGAACAGAAAAUUUGAUGUCCAAGCACAGAACUCAAGAGAAUCAUCAAAAGAAGGAGAAAUCUGUGGCCACAGAAAAGAAACAAUGAGAACUUGGAGUCAGCAACAACUGCAUGUGAAUAUUUUCUGCUACAGUUUUCUUGUGUCUCUCUCUCUUCAAUCUGUAACCCUAGAAUUUCUAUUGGACCUGGAGAGGCCCCAAACACUGCAUAUGAUUCUUUUCUCCCAAAGCUCCGGAUUUUUUCCCACAGUGCAUAGGGAAUCUGAAUUCAUAUAGGAGUAGAAAACCCCUUUUCUGACAUUCUUUGGCUCUUAAUAUCCAGGGACUUGAGUCCCUCUCCCAAAUAAAAAUGUCCUUUAGUUUAGGAAUUGGUUCA